rnacentral:rRNA from 1 species
AGCAAGCGUUGAUCCGGAGAUGUCCGAAUGGGGGAACCCACUGUCCGUAAUGGGGCAGUAUCCAUGCCUGAAUCCAUAGGGCAUGGAGGGCACACCCGGGGAACUGAAACAUCUUAGUACCCGGAGGAGAAGAAAGCAAACGCGAUUCCCUGAGUAGCGGCGAGCGAAACGGGAACAGCCCAAACCAAGAGGCGUGCCUCUUGGGGUUGUAGGACCGCUCGUUGUGGGAGUGAGAAAGGAACGGGGUAGACGAACCGGUCUGGAACGGCCGGCCAGAGAAGGUGACAGCCCUGUAGUCGAAACUUCGUUCCCUCCCGAGCGGAUCCUGAGUACGGCGGGACACGGGAAAUCCCGUCGGAAGCAGGGAGGACCAUCUCCCAAGGCUAAAUACUCCCUAGUGACCGAUAGUGCACCAGUACCGUGAGGGAAAGGUGAAAAGCA